UUUCUUCCAUGUUUUAUUUUAACAAUCUACCAACAAUUUAACAACAGGCUUAGCGAGUGCAUUGCAAAUACAUGAAAAGUAGAAAUACAAGUCAUCAUCAAUUAAGCAGACCUUCGAUUUGGAACUUGGCCCGACGAUGUGUGCAAAUCUCUCAAUAACAACACUUUUGAAAUCAGGUAUUUCUCAAUAACAGCUGUUUAAAUCAGGUAUGAAAUCAGGUAGCCUACAAUUUUAAUACCUGCUGAAAUAAAUAAAAAAUAGGCUUCAAUGCCGAAAGAUACAGGCGGAGUAAUUCGACAACAACAGCGGAGUAAUUCGACAACAACAGUCCUAGAAUAUGACCAUGGGGCAGACUACUUUACGACCAUAUGGGCGUCUUAUAGCGCUGAUUGCAAUUCUUACGCCUCCCUGCAGGGUUAUGUGAGAAACAUACGGAGGGACGCGGUCGUUGAGCUCCGCCGCCCCACAUUGCAUGACACGUUAAACUCAACUAGAAUCACCACCAUCAAUUUGAUAUCAACAGACCAAAAAUUGUCGGAAAGCCUACAGAAACUAUAGAUAGUUAAUGUGACAAUCACAUUAUUAACAAUAAACUUGGAGCAAUGAUUUACUGAGGAACUAUUUUUUUUGGGAGCAUGCUUUUGCAGGGAGUUCGCCGCCCCAUCUGCCCAUACGGACGGCACGCGGCUGGUUAGAAUGCGUGAGUG